ACAGGGAUUGCCCCAGUAACGGCGAGUGAAGCGGCAACAGCUCAAAUUUGAAAUCUGGCAUCCGCCCGAGUUGUAAUUUGGAGAGGAUGCUUCUGGGCAGCGGCCGGUCUAAGUUCCUUGGAACAGGACGUCACAGAGGGUGAGAAUCCCGUACGUGACCGGCGCGCACCCUCCACGUAGCUCCUUCGACGAGUCGAGUUGUUUGGGAAUGCAGCUCUAAAUGGGAGGUAAAUUUCUUCUAAAGCUAAAUACCGGCCAGAGACCGAUAGCGCACAAGUAGAGUGAUCGAAAGAUGAAAAGCACUUUGGAAAGAGAGUUAAAAAGCACGUGAAAUUGUUGAAAGGGAAGCGCUCCCAACCAGACCUGCCGGCGGCGUUCCGCCGGUCUUCUGACCGGUCUACUCGUCGUCCGCAGGCCAACAUCGUCUGGUGCCGCCGGAUAAGCCGUCGGGAAUGUAGCUCCUCGGAGUAUUAUAGCCCGUCGGGAUGCGGCGCGCGCCGGGCGAGGUCCGCGCUUCGGCAAGGAUGUUGGCGUAAUGGUUGGCAGCGGCCCGUCUUGAAACACGGACCAAGGAGUCUAACAUCUAUGCGAGUGUUCGGGUGUUAAACCCCUACGCGUAAUGAAAGUGAACGGAGGUGGGAACCGCAAGGUGCACCAUCGACCGAUCCUGAUGUCCUCGGAUGGAUUUGAGUAAGAGCAUAGCUGUUGGGACCCGAAAGAUGGUGAACUAUGCCUGAAUAGGGUGAAGCCAGAGGAAACUCUGGUGGAGGCUCGCAGCGGUUCUGACGUGCAAAUCGAUCGUCAAAUUUGGGUAUAGGGGCGAAAGACUAAUCGAACCAUCGACCGGGCAGGUCGAAUUGCUAGGUGGUUGAGAGGGCGGCGAGGCCCUAGUCGCCGGGCGGGACCCGGCGGCGACACUAUCAAAUUGCGGGGAGGCCCCGUGACGCCAUCCG
rnacentral:rRNA from 1 species